rnacentral:lncRNA from 1 species
GUAACUUUAUUUAUCCACGGUGUACUCAUCAGGAUUAAGAUUACAUACAUAUAUACAUGUAAAUAAAUCUACAAAAUUAUGCAUAAAACUAAUAACACACUACUUACAAUAUAAAUAACACAAUAUAUAAAUACAUACUAAGAAAUGGCAAAAGAAAAACCUGCUUUACAUGAGUACGGUGCGGAGCCACAGAGUAUGUACAUAAAGAGCUGUUACUAGCCGUCGUAAACAGUGCGGAAACGUACGUUUUCAUGUACCCACCUUUUAUCACCUGACCGGGCAAAAAAUGAUCAACUGCGCGUGCUCAGCAAGUUUUAAAGCGACCCGCCAUCCAAUGGGAUGCAUGCAUCUAGUAACUUGCCUAGCACGCGCACAAAAAAGUGGUUACACUAGUUAUAACUCUGUAUAUGUAUCUACUCUGUGCCGGAGCGCCGUGCGAGGGUACUAAUUCUGCCAGGCUAUUUACACCCGGGGAAACGAAAGCAUUAGCGUAGUCCAAAGUGAUGUCAUGGUGUACACAGCCAGAAACGCGUAAGUUCCGGCAGGUCUGCCGCAGACUUGAUGCAACUUGCGAUCAUCAAGCCGAUAUCAACGAGAAAGUGGUCUAAUGGUAAAGUCUACAGCCUGUGUGAUGUACUAUUGAGGUUCGGGUCUUACAGAAGUAAUUUUGGGAUUCCAAAAUGGUUAAAUUUUUAUUAUGCAGGCAAGAGCAAAAAAUAAAAGAUGAAAAAUAUGCGAUAGGCUACCAACAACGAACAAGUGGUCUAGAGGUAAAGACUGCAGGCUGUGUAUAAUGUACCAUUGUGAUUCAAAUCCUACAGAAGUCAUUUCGUGAUUCGAAAAUGGUUGAGUUUUAAUUAUACAAUCUAGAGAAAAACGUUAAGGUGAUUAAGUUCCGGUGGGCUUCCAACAACGAGGAAGUAGUGUAGUGGUAAAGACUACAGGCUGUGUAAUGUAUCAGUGUGGUUCAGGUCCUACAGAAGUCAUUUUGGGAUUCGAAAAUGCUCGAAUUUUAAUUAUAAAAGCUAGAGAAAAAAAUAUAAGAUGAAUAAGUUGCGAUCAGCUUCCAACAAUGGGAUUUUAAUCAUUUUGGGAUUCGAAAAUGGUUGUUAGUUUUCAUUACACAAAUUACAGAAAAGAUAUAAGGUGAAUAAGUUGCGUUGGGCUUUCAACAACGAGAAUGUGGUGUAGUGGUAAAGACCAGAGGCUGUGUAAUGUACCCUCAUUGUUCAGAUCCGACAGGAGUCAUUUUGGGAUUCGAAAAUGGUUGAGAAAAAAAUAUAAGGUGAAUAAGUUGCGAUCGGCUUCCAACAACGGCCAAGAAUGGUCUAGAGGUAAAAAGAACAGACCGUGUAAUGUACCAUUGGGGUUCACGUCCUACACUAGACAUUUUGGGAUUAGAAAAUUUAAUUACUUAAUUAUUUAACUCGAUUUUUAAUUACACAAAUUAGAGAAAAAAUGUAAGCUGAAUAAGUUACGAUAGGCUUUCAACAACGAAAUGGUCUAGUGGUGAAGACUACAGGCUGUGUAAUGUGCCAUUGAGGUUCAGGUCUUACAGAAUCCAAUUUGGGAUUCGUAUUUUUGGACCAGGAACUGGUCCCCAAUCGCUGCUAAUCUUGUUGUUGUUGUUGUUGUUGUUGUUGUUGUUGUUGUUGUUGUUGUUGUUGUUGUUG